rnacentral:rRNA from 1 species
CUCGUAGGCGGUUCGUCGCGUCCGGUGUGAAAGUCCAUCGCUUAACGGUGGAUCCGCGCCGGGUACGGGCGGGCUUGAGUGCGGUAGGGGAGACUGGAAUUCCCGGUGUAACGGUGGAAUAUGUAGAUAUCGGGAAGAACACCAAUGGCGAAGGCAGGUCUCUGGGCCGUCACUGACGCUGAGGAGCGAAAGCGUGGGGAGCGAACA